rnacentral:rRNA from 1 species
GACAGAGGAUGCAAGCGUUAUCCGGAAUGAUUGGGCGUAAAGCGUCUGUAGGUGGCUUUUUAAGUCCGCCGUCAAAUCCCAGGGCUCAACCCUGGACAGGCGGUGGAAACUACCAAGCUGGAGUUCGGUAGGGGAGAGUCGGAAUUCCUGGUGUAGCGGUGAAAUGCGCAGAUAUCAGGAGGAACACCGGUGGCGAAGGCGGAUCUCUGGGCCGAUACUGACGCUGAGGAGCGAAAGCGUGGGGAGCGAACAGG